AGAACAGCUGUAAAAACAACCAGCAGAUGGUUCGCUGUUCAUAAAGACUCUAAACAGGUUUCUCUCUGACUCCACCCACUGAUGCUGAACUCAGCCAAUGAGAUGGUCUCUUUCUGCAGAACUACAGCCUGAUGUUGAGGAGAAGGCUGUGCAGCAGAGAGGCUGCUUAGUCUUUUCAUUCUGCUGAACUUUGUUCAUCUGCUGUGUGACUUCAACACCUGAAACAUGUUCCUUUACCUGUUUGUACUUUUCUCUCACUGCAUAGCUUUGGGCUCCAUGAACAGCAUAAAGCAGGAACGUGCUGAAGAAGCUGUUGUAGAGGGAGGAAACAUCAACCUGACCUGUACAUAUGAUGGUUCUAUCAACAAUAUCCAGUGGUACCGACAAUACCAGAGAUCCAGACCAGAGUUCCUGCUCUACAUCACAGAGGGAGGAUCAGUUCAUGAAGCUGUGUCGGGAUUCUCAGCUCACAUUGACAAAACAGAGAAACGUGCAGAUCUGGAGAUCUCCUCUGCUGCAGUGACAGACUCUGCUGUGUACUACUGUGCUCUGCAGCCCACAGUGACAGGAAACACCAAAACUCUGUACAAAAACCUUUGGAGCAAAGACAACAGAAUGUGGGUGUACUCAGAGCUCCGACCAUCAGAGGGGUUCAAACACAGCAUGCCCAACACGUUCUACACCAAACCUGACAGCUGA